rnacentral:tRNA from 1 species
GGAUAUAGCUCAGCUGGUAGAGUGCUUGCCUCACAUGCACAAGGCCCUAGGUUCGAUCCCAAGCACCA